GACGAACGCUGGCGGCGUGCUUAACACAUGCAAGUCGAACGGAAAGGCCCCCUUGUGGGGUACUCGAGUGGCGAACGGGUGAGUAACACGUGAGUAACCUACCCUUGACUUUGGGAUAACUUCAGGAAACUGGGGCUAAUACCGGAUAGGAGCUCCUGCUGCAUGGUGGGGGGGGGAAAGUUUCGGCGGUUGGGGAUGGACGCGCGGCUUAUCAGCUUGUUGGUGGGGUAGUGGCUCACCAAGGCUUUGACGGGUAGCCGGCCUGAGAGGGUGACCGGCCACAUUGGGACUGAGAUACGGCCCAGACUCCUACGGGAGGCAGCAGUGGGGAAUAUUGCACAAUGGGCGGAAGCCUGAUGCAGCAACGCCGCGUGCGGGAUGACGGCCUUCGGGUUGUAAACCGCUUUCGCCUGUGGCGAAGCGUGAGUGACGGUAAUGGGUAAAGAAGCACCGGCUAACUACGUG
rnacentral:rRNA from 1 species